rnacentral:lncRNA from 1 species
CUGUGUCCUUCUUUUAGGCAAAUACAGAGAGGGCAGAGAGCUUUCCUGCAUAGGCUUCUUCUUAAUUGCCUUCAACUCAAUUAUUCUUUAUAUUUGGUGGCAGCAUAUUCUGGUCUUCCACACCUCUAAGAUUUCCUCUUAAAACACAAAUAGGAUUGGAGAAGAAAAACAUGAAGGCUUUCCAUUAACAACCUACCUUAACUUGGGCUGUUCCGUUGGCUAGUAUGCAGUGUCCACUGAUAGCUAAGAAGAAUCUCUGAAAUAAUACCCAGAAGGUUCCAUUUUACCAAAGGACAUCAGGAUUCAGGAGAAAAGGAGACCCAGGUUCAUAUCAGGGUGUUUAGGAGCAUAUGGAAAUUCAGGUGAACAAGAUUUGUAGCAGCUAACAGGAAAGAUGUAGCUUAUCAGCUCUCCACAUGAUGUGUCAAACAGAAGCAGAAAAUGGGUGAAGACGGCAAAGAUGAUGAAACUUAGCACCCAGCUGAGCAGCACAGUCAUGAGAAGAGUGACAAUUCCAGUCAAGACUAUCAAUGUUUCAAAGGCAUGGGAAGAGGCAGCAGCUGAGGAC